GCACCUGAAUCUUUCCCAUUCCUUGCUGCUUUGUGCUGGCAUGGGGACAGAUGGUGCUACAGUACAAAGCAGAGGAAAUCCAGAUGGGCCAUUUCCAUUUGUUUUGGAACCUGUCCCUACAACUCUGCCACACUU
rnacentral:snoRNA from 1 species